rnacentral:rRNA from 1 species
GACGUAGGGCGCAAGCGUUGUCCGGAAUUACUGGGCGGUAAAGAGCUCGUAGGUGGUUUGUCGCGUUGUUCGUGAAACUCACAGCUUAACUGUGGGCGUGCGGGCGAUACGGGCAGACUGGAGUACUGCAGGGGAGACUGGAAUUCCUGGUGUAGCGGUGGAAUGCGCAGAUAUCAGGAGGAACACCGGUGGCGAAGGCGGGUCUCUGGGCAGUAACUGACGCUGGAGGAGCGAAAGCGUGG